rnacentral:tRNA from 1 species
GGUUCCAUGGUGUAGUGGUUAGCACGUCUGCCUUACACGCAGAAGAUCCUGGGUUCGAUUCCCAGUGGAACCA